AGUGUAGGACCAUUUGGAAAAGUCCAUGGAUGACUAACAAAUGUACAGAAGAAAAGACAUCUUUCACUGACCUUACAGCCUUCACAUGUGAUGACUCCAUAGUGGAUGCCUGAUGACUUGUCUCCACAGAUUUUGCAUGACAGAAGCACUGUUGACGCAAACACACACCUGACUUGAGACCGCAGUAUGAAGCUCAGAGGUUUGGAAGUGUGAGUGCAUAUCUAGUUAUGUGUGUGUGUGUGCGCGCUGCUAAUCUGACUGUGAGAAUAUAACUCAGAGAGACUGACUAGUCUAUGUAUUACAUGUUGGCCAGUUUGUAUCUUGUAUUCAUACUGUGAAUAAUAUACACGUUUCAUGACUGAAUAUGUACUUUUGUGCAAAAUAUAUUU